GAUGAACGCUGGCGGCGUGCCUAAUACAUGCAAGUCGAGCGAACAGACGAGGAGCUUGCUCCUCUGACGUUAGCGGCGGACGGGUGAGUAACACGUGGAUAACCUACCUAUAAGACUGGGAUAACUUCGGGAAACCGGAGCUAAUACCGGAUAAUAUAUUGAACCGCAUGGUUCAAUAGUGAAAGACGGUUUUGCUGUCACUUAUAGAUGGAUCCGCGCCGCAUUAGCUAGUUGGUAAGGUAACGGCUUACCAAGGCAACGAUACGUAGCCGACCUGAGAGGGUGAUCAGCCACACUGGAACUGAGACACGGUCCAGACUCCUACGGGAGGCAGCAGUAGGGAAUCUUCCGCAAAGGGCGAAAGCCUGACGCAGCAACACCGCGUGAGUGAUGAAGGUCUUCGGAUCGUAAAACUCUGUUAUUAGGAAAGAACAAAUGUGUAAGUAACUAUGCACGUCUUGACGGUACCUAAUCAGAAAGCCACGGCUAACUACGUG
rnacentral:rRNA from 1 species